rnacentral:tRNA from 1 species
GGCCAGGUAGCUCAGAUGGUAGUAGCGCAGCCCUGAAAAGGCUGAGGUCACCGGUUCGAUCCCGGUCCUGGCCA